rnacentral:rRNA from 1 species
GACAGAGGGUGCAAACGUUGUUCGGAAUUACUGGGCGUAAAGCGCAUGUAGGCGGCCAAGCAGGUCGGAUGUGAAAUCCCUCGGCUCAACCAAGGAAGUGCAUUCGAAACCGCAUGGCUCGAGUCCCGGAGAGGAAGGUGGAAUUCUCGGUGUAGAGGUGAAAUUCGUAGAUAUCGAGAGGAACACCGGUGGCGAAGGCGGCCUGCUGGGCUAUGGCUGACACUGAGGCGCGACAGCGUGGGGAGCAAACAGG